ACACACACACACACACACACACACACACACGUUUUUACUUUCACUAUAUAGGCCAUCUAAGCAUGUUUUGAAAGGUGGAACUUUAGUCUCAAAGUUUGGCUCUAAUAUCUAUCAAAGUUUGAUAGACAUUGACAUGUUUCUAUGGGUAAUUCUUUGUAAUCAAAUCUUAAUUUCUUUAUAGUGGCAGUAUAUAAAAAUGACUGUGGGGAUUCAUUAUUGCAUUGACAAUAAUAGCUAACAAUUGCCUGUCAAAAAUAUACUGUGAGAGCACUUGGCGGUCUCAGAUCAGAUCCUGUUAUAUAGGAGGAGCAGCUCUUAUGCAGCCACAAGGCUCCAUCUUUCUCUCUGCUUUCAAAACUCAGCUAAGUCAUUUAAGUAUUUGACAGAGAAAGUUUAUUUUUGGAAUAAUAUGUCUGAACCAUAGGGCUCCUAUGUGAAAUAAAAAAAAGUUAUACAUUAAAAUUGAAGAAAUAUAAGAUUUUUAACCAUUAAAGACUAUCGUAAGCACUUUUUGUGAUUUGGGAGUGGAAAAACUUGAAGUUGGUGUGAAAGAUGAAUAUCAUAUUAGCUAAGCUUAAUUUUUUUUUUAACAUUUGAUUAGCUUUCAAGAACACUAAAAGUAGGAUUCAAAUAGUUCUUCAGCACAUAUGAGGGAAAGAAGAUUAUUUGAAUGCUGUGAUAAUCUAUUAAACUGAAUGUACAUGUAUUAGGCAGUUUAUUCAACCUGAAAUUUUGGUUUUUUGAAAUCCCUUUGCAAUGCUGUUGUUCUGUAACCAGAUGUCACUGAUUCAGAGGAGUCUUCCAGGCACGUGCUGCAUGAACUCAGACAAGGGCCAACCAGCUAGCUGCAGCAGCUGUCCUCCAUGGUGUACCCUGAGAUGUAUAUUUCUGUAGGGACAGCUUCAACAUCUGUCCUCAUGCCCCAGAGAAAAGUGAUCAUCUUCUGUACGCACACAGUACAUACACACUGCACAUGUUAGAAAGUGAGUUUAGUAGACUUGAGGUAAUGCUUAAUAACAGAAGAUGUAAGUUAAACCGACCAGCUGUUGUGUCUGUUCUGAUGUAAUACAAUGUGGGAUGGUGAGAAGUUUCACACCAACUUUAUUUCACACUAAAUAAUUUAUUAUAUAUAUACACACACAGAGAACAUGGGAAAUUUGCCUGAUUAAAAAGCUGUCCUUUCUAAAUAAAAUAUAAACUUGGCUGUCUUCUGGGUCUCUGCUGUUGUCCUUGAUGAGGGUCAUUCCUGCACUCUGCUAAAACAGUUUCUUAGUGCUGUGAUUAUAAGGUGUUAAACUCUUACGUGUUUCUGCACAGCACAUAAAAGUGCACAAUGCUGAUUCCUGCUGAGGUUUUAACUGAUGAUCUGUGAUCAGGAGGAUCGUUCAGAGUGAGGGGAGGAAGAAGCUAUGGAUUCCUUGAAAUCUAAGGUAAAGAGUGUGAGGCUGAAGCAGGUUGUAGCCAGCAUGUCUUAUUGUUUAUACACUGUAGCAAGUUGUAGCCCCUGUGUCUCAUUGCUUACACACUGUAGCAAGUUGUAGCCCCUGUGUCUCAUUGUUGUACACAUUGCACCAGCAUAACUCCUGAGGAGUGGCAGGAUUUCAAAGUCCAAGGUUUUUUUCACAGAUUUUGUAGCUAGACCAGUGCUAGUGAGAGCCCUACAUUGCGUUUCUCAGGCAAGGCAGAGGGAUGAAACAAUUUGAAUUUGGGGCCUAGGUUGCAUUUUCAUAGCAAUAAGUGGUUAAAAAUUUUGAAGAGAGGCGGGAGAGGUCAGCAAAGGCCGUUUUCUGUUGAACGUUCAGAAGGGUAAUCUCCAGGACAGACUUACAAGUACAAUAUGAUAAAUGUAGUAUGUGUAGCCGUGUAACUGACUUAACAGAGAGAUGACGGCGUCUGUCGUAUUCUUGCCAUUUAUUUAAUUUUACCUAUUUGCAUAAUGCCAUCUAGUCCUUGGCUCAGGAUUUAGGAAUCAACAGUGAAAUGAUCAUUGAAUAAAAGUUUUAAAGUGUGAGCCUUGUUAGCUUUAAGUUAAUUCUGGCCAAUGGUAAGAUUAUAUAUUUAAAAUUAGUACUAGGCUCAACAGCUAGAGGGACAGGCAGAAAACAUGACCCAGAAAAUGAUUUCUGCCCAUUUGAAUGGAGAGUUUUUCCUCAAAGAGGUGGUUAGUGUCCAUCCAUUGAUUUGUUUAUAAGUGCAGUUUUUUUUGAGGUCGUAGAAUGGAUGUCUUGAAUUCUAGCCGCAGCAGGAUCAGGUGGGCUGUUGGAGAGGGAGAGACGGAGAUGCUGCUCCAACCCAGUUGAAUCAAAACCUGCUUGCCUGCCACACUGCAGAGAAUUCUUGUACCUUUCAGGUUUGAGAUAGAGAGGCUUAGGGACCUUUUGGAAAGCAGGGUCUUCAAUUACAUGUAAUU
rnacentral:lncRNA from 1 species